CGAACGAGAGACCUUCGGGUCUCUAGUGGCGAACGGGUGAGUAACACGUAGGCAACCUGCCCGCGCACCGGGAAUACGCUCUGGAAACGGAGAACAAAUCCCGAUGUACAGGAAGGAGGCAUCUUCUUUCUGUGAAACAUCCUUUAGGGGAUGGGGCGCGGAUGGACCUGCGGUGCAUUAGUUGGUUGGCGGGGUAAAGGCCCACCAAGACGAUGAUGCAUAGCCGGCCUGAGAGGGCGGACGGCCACAUUGGGACUGAGACACGGCCCAGACUCCUGCGGGAGGCAGCAGUAGGGAAUUUUCGUCAAUGGGCGCAAGCCUGAACGAGCGAUGCCGCGUGAGUGAAGAAGGCCUUCGGGUCGUAAAGCUCUGUUGCGGGGGAAAAAAGGCAGCAUCAGGAAAUGGGUGCUGACUGAUGGUGCCCCGCCAGAAAGUCACGGCUAACUACGUGCCAGCAGCCGCGGUAAUACGUAGGUGGCGAGCGUUAUCCGGAAUGAUUGGGCGUAAAGGGUGCGCAGGCGGUCCUGCAAGUCUGGAGUGAAACGCAUGAGCUCAACUCAUGCAUGGCUUUGGAAACUGGAGGACUGGAGAGCAGGAGAGGGCGGUGGAACUCCAUGUGUAGCGGUAAAAUGCGUAGAUAUAUGGAAGAACACCAGUGGCGAAGGCGGCCGCCUGGCCUGUUGCUGACGCUGAGGCACGAAAGCGUGGGGAGCAAAUAGG
rnacentral:rRNA from 1 species